rnacentral:rRNA from 1 species
UUAUAUUCUGUAGCAAGGUUAACCGUAUAGGGGAGCCGGAGGGAAACCGAGUCUUAACCGGGCGUUAAGUUGCAGGGUAUAGACCCGAAACCCGGUGAUCUAGCCAUGGGCAGGUUGAAGGUUGGGUAACACUAACUGGAGGACCGAACCGACUAAUGUUGAAAAAUUAGCGGAUGACCUGUGGCUGGGGGUGAAAGGCCAAUCAAACCGGGAGAUAGCUGGUUCUCCCCGAAAGCUAUUUAGGUAGCGCCUCGUGAAUUCAUCUCCGGGGGUAGAGCACUGUUUCGGCUAGGGGGCCAUCCCGGCUUACCAACCCGAUGCAAACUGCGAAUACCGGAGAAUGUUAUCACGGGAGACACACGGCGGGUGCUAACGUCCGUCGUGAAGAGGGAAACAACCCAGACCGCCAGCUAAGGUCCCAAAGUCAUGGUUAAGUGGGAAACGAUGUGGGAAGGCCCAGACAGCCAGGAUGUUGGCUUAGAAGCAGCCAUCAUUUAAAGAAAGCGUAAUAGCUCACUGGUCGAGUCGGCCUGCGCGGAAGAUGUAACGGGGCUAAACCAUGCACCGAAGCUGCGGCAGCGACGCUGAUGCGUUGUUGGGUAGGGGAGCGUUCUGUAAGCCUGCGAAGGUGGCCUGUGAGGGUUGCUGGAGGUAUCAGAAGUGCGAAUGCUGACAUAAGUAACGAUAAAGCGGGUGAAAAGCCCGCUCGCCGGAAGACCAAGGGUUCCUGUCCAACGUUAAUCGGGGCAGGGUGAGUCGACCCCUAAGGCGAGGCCGAAAGGCGUAGUCGAUGGGAAACGGGUUAAUAUUCCCGUACUUGGUGUUACUGCGAAGGGGGGACGGAGAAGGCUAUGUUGGCCGGGCGACGGUU